ACGCUGGCGGCAGGCCUAACACAUGCAAGUCGAGCGGUAGAGAGAAGCUUGCUUCUCUUGAGAGCGGCGGACGGGUGAGUAAUGCCUAGGAAUCUGCCUGGUAGUGGGGGAUAACGUUCGGAAACGGACGCUAAUACCGCAUACGUCCUACGGGAGAAAGCAGGGGACCUUCGGGCCUUGCGCUAUCAGAUGAGCCUAGGUCGGAUUAGCUAGUUGGUGGGGUAAUGGCUCACCAAGGCGACGAUCCGUAACUGGUCUGAGAGGAUGAUCAGUCACACUGGAACUGAGACACGGUCCAGACUCCUACGGGAGGCAGCAGUGGGGAAUAUUGGACAAUGGGCGAAAGCCUGAUCCAGCCAUGCCGCGUGUGUGAAGAAGGUCUUCGGAUUGUAAAGCACUUUAAGUUGGGGGGAAGGGUUGUAGAUUAAUACUCUGCAAUUUUGACGUUACCGACAGAAUAAGCACCGGCUAACUCUGUGCCAGCAGCCGCGGUAAUACAGAGGGUGCAAGCGUUAAUCGGAAUUACUGGGCGUAAAGCGCGCGUAGGUGGUUAGUUAAGUUGGAUGUGAAAUCCCCGGGCUCAACCUGGGAACUGCAUUCAAAACUGACUGACUAGAGUAUGGUAGAGGGUGGUGGAAUUUCCUGUGUAGCGGUGAAAUGCGUAGAUAUAGGAAGGAACACCAGUGGCGAAGGCGACCACCUGGACUGAUACUGACACUGAGGUGCGAAAGCGUGGGGAGCAAAC
rnacentral:rRNA from 1 species